GCCUGGGUAACUCAGUCAAUAGAGCAUCAGACUUUUAAUGUGAGGGCCCAGGUUCAAGUCCCUGUCAAGGCU
rnacentral:tRNA from 1 species